rnacentral:lncRNA from 1 species
GGGUAUUUUUAUGCUGUCAUGUGAUGUUUGUGGCACAGCUUCCUCUACUGAGCUAUAUUGGACAGUGUGGCUUGAAAUUUGAGAUGGAAAAUACAAUCAGGAUAAAUUUUUGGCCCAGGGUACAGUGAGGACUUGGAGUGAUUUUACUGAAUGCCUUGUUCUGAUUAUUUCAGAGGCUUCUGAAGCCUUACCUGUUCACAUCUGUGGGUUCUCUGUGAUCAAGAACUGCCUGCCCUGGGAAAUCCAUUUGUUUUCCUCCACUCAGUGCCAAAUGCCUUCGUCUUUGUUUCUGCAAGCUCUCAACAUUCACUGCAGGCUCUAACCCAAUGACAAGUCUUUAGAAGAGAAGAGAGGGAAAAAUAGACAGAAACACACCAAGGAGAAGACAAUGUGAAGACAGAGGCAGAUAUUGGAGUGAUGCAUCUACAGGCCAAGGAAUGCCAAGAAUUGCCAGCAGCCACCAGAAGCCAGGAGAUAACAGAUUCUCUGUUCGAGCCUCCAGAAGGAUCCAAUGCAGCUGACACCUUGAUUUCAGACUUCUGGCCUCCAGAACUGUGAGAAUAAAUAUCUGAUGUUUUAAACUACCAAUUUGUUAUGGCAGCCUUAGAAAACUAACACAUUGCUGCUCAUGUACUUGACUGGAAAAGCCCUGAACUAUUUAACCAACUAUCUCCUUAUUCCUCUUUCACAUGUCCUGUUUCUCCAAAUUAGUUAAUCUCAAUUCCAAAGCUUCAGUCCAAGCCACAAUCAUCUCUCUCCAAGACUGUGACAACGGCCUCUUGAUUGAUUAGGAGCCCUGCCCCUAGAACCUAGAGUAUUAAUCUGACCGUGUCACUUACUUUCUGAACUCCUCUACAUCCCCCAACACAUACAAACAUAUACAGUCCUUUUUGUUACACCUGGAGAGAAAUUCAGACUCUGCGCUAUGGUUCUGCAAGACCCUGCCAACCUGUAAUGGUCAGAGAGCAUUAACUGCUGUAAUAAAUUUGCCCAAUAACUAACUAUGGCUCAAAUGGUGUAGAUCUUUAUUUCUUGCUCACAUAACAACAUACAGUCAUUCAGGGAUAUAGGCUGACUGUCAUCUCCUACACGAGUCUGUCUUUCAAAGUCACCCUUGGGGUCAUUUCCAUUUCGACUAGCUGGAGGAGAAAACACAGAGAGAAGUACAUAUGAGUGUUUUUUAUGUGCAGAAACGGGUAUCACUUCUGUUAAUAUUGCACUGGCUG